rnacentral:rRNA from 1 species
GACGAACGCUGGCGGCGUGCCUAAUACAUGCAAGUCGAACGCUUCUUUCCUCCCGAGUGCUUGCACUCAAUUGGAAAGAGGAGUGGCGGACGGGUGAGUAACACGUGGGUAACCUACCCAUCAGAGGGGGAUAACACUUGGAAACAGGUGCUAAUACCGCAUAACAGUUUAUGCCGCAUGGCAUAAGAGUGAAAGGCGCUUUCGGGUGUCGCUGAAGGAUGGACCCGCGGUGCAUUAGCUAGUUGGUGAGGUAACGGCUCACCAAGGCCACGAUGCAUAGCCGACCUGAGAGGGUGAUCGGCCACACUGGGACUGAGACACGGCCCAGACUCCUACGGGAGGCAGCAGUAGGGAAUCUUCGGCAAUGGACGAAAGUCUGACCGAGCAACGCCGCGUGAGUGAAGAAGGUUUUCGGAUCGUAAAACUCUGUUGUUAGAGAAGAACAAGGACGUUAGUAACUGAACGUCCCCUGACGGUAUCUAACCAGAAAGCCACGGCUAACUACGUG